UGGUACUAAUUUCGUUGGAGCGUCCAAACUUUUAAUUAAAGAUCGGCGAGAAUUCAUGAAGUCAUUGAAAACUCAAUUAACAGCUAGUGAAGCACACCAAAACAUCAACUGGCACUUUAAUCCGCCAGGAGCUCUACACAUGGGUGGACUCUGGGAAGCAGGAGUGCUACCCUUUUAACCCGAAUCGAAAGUAGCUUGAAUUCUCGCCCUUUAAGCCCAUUAAGUGAAGACCCAACAAAUUUAGAACCCUUAACUCCAGGCCAUUUCUUAAUAGGUACCCCUUUAUUAAUCCCAGCAGAACCCAACUUAGAMGGUGCACAUCUAAGCAUCGCACAAAGAUGGCAGAAACUGAAGAUACUCCAUCAACACUUCUGCAAAAGAUGGAAAGAAGAAUAUCUGAAAGAACUCCACAAAAGGUACAAGUGGAAAUACCCUCAGCGCAAUAUAGACGUCGAUAUGGUAGUUGUACGUCAAGAAACACUACCCCCAAAUGAGUGGAGACUUGGUCGCAUCGAAAAAACGUAUCUCGGUGCAGACAAUAAAGCAAGAGUAGUUGACAUACGUACCUCUCAGGGAACAAUUACCCGUCCAAUAACCAAAGUAGUCACUUUACCAAAUAAUUAAUCUUAUUUUCUUAUAGUGACAUGACCCCUCAAACCAAUAUGAAGCCAGCUUGCAGUCGCCAAAGCAGCCCCACAUUCACCGUGCGAUCACUUAGUGUGAUCCGAAGCAUCAGCCCACUCUCCGACGAAGGGACUCUGGCAAGACGCCUACAUUGCUUUAAAGCGACCCUUUCCCCCAUUUGAGAGAAACGAGGAAAUACUCAUUGCACGGCCCGACGUACUCUCAGCCGUUCAUCAAAACGAACACAUAAACACGUUGCCUGUGGAUUGUGCAAAAAGGAUCAUAGACUGGUAACAUGUUCAAAAUUUACUCAAAUGAACAUCAACGAAAAGUUCGACGCAGUCAUUAAAUAUAAGUAYUGCGUCAAUUGCUUGGCCAGAUCGCAUUCCACCCGAAAGUGCACAAGUACAAAACGAUCUGCCACGUGUAAUGGGGAACACCAUUCAACCCUACAUGGGCACCCCAGGCUGUUCUGCAAAGAACCAGAAAAAACAUCAAAGAGCGAAGAAAGAUUGCAUAGACAAAACGAUCUACCCACGUUACUGGCCAAGCCGACCCUUAUACCAACAGUCAUGAUCAAAGUUAAACACGAUGGCAAAUGGAAUCAAACACGACCCAUAAUUAACCCGACCCGAAAGGUGACUAUAAUUGCGUCAGAAUUGGUUCAGAGAUUGAGGUUACCGAAAACGUACCUUCACUCCCGUCGUAUAUGUAAGGUCGUCAUAGGAUCAUUAACUGAUUCCGACUGGCAUGUCGAAGUUAACUGCCUUUUGACGCACGAUUUACCGACCCGACCCUAUAACCGUGACUUAAGUGGCGAAAUUACUAAGAAGUUCGACCACUUAGUCCUAGCCGACCCUACAUUCUGGAAGAAUGACAACAUCAUGUUGGAACUGGGAGCUGACGUCUACCCAAGAAUAAUGAAACCCGGAUUAUUCAACCCCGAUAACAGCACCGUGAUCGCACAAAACACCGCACUCGRUUGGACUUUGACCGGUGCUUGUGCGAUUUAAACCCAAAACCCUGCAAGGCGGCCGRGAUGUUCAUACCAAAUGAACACAUCCCUGCAUUGUCCUCCUAACUCGUCUAAAUACGAAUUAGAGGACAAUGCAAAAAACACCCAACAGCGCCAACAUAACAGCGAAGUACCCAACAAACA